rnacentral:rRNA from 1 species
AUUGAACGCUGGCGGCAGGCCUAACACAUGCAAGUCGAGCGGAUGAAGGGAGCUUGCUCCUGGAUUCAGCGGCGGACGGGUGAGUAAUGCCUAGGAAUCUGCCUGGUAGUGGGGGAUAACGCCCGGAAACGGGCGCUAAUACCGCAUACGUCCUGAGGGAGAAAGUGGGGGAUCUUCGGCCCUCACGCUAUCAGAUGAGCCUAGGUCGGAUUAGCUAGUUGGUGGGGUAAAGGCCUACCAAGGCGACGAUCCGUAACUGGUCUGAGAGGAUGAUCAGUCACACUGGAACUGAGACACGGUCCAGACUCCUACGGGAGGCAGCAGUGGGGAAUAUUGGGCAAUGGGCGAAAGCCUGAUCCAGCCAUGCCGCGUGUGUGAAGAAGGUCUUCGGAUUGUAAAGCACUUUAAGUUGGGAGGAAGGGCAGUAAGUUAAUACCUUGCUGUUUUGACGUUACCAACAGAAUAGGCACCGGCUAACUUCGUG